rnacentral:rRNA from 1 species
UGGACGUACCUCUGGUGUACCAGUUGUCCUGCCAAGGGCAUGGCUGGGUAGCUAUGUACGGAAUGGAUAAGCGCUGAAAGCAUCUAAGCGCGAAGCCAACUUCAAGAUAAGAUUUCCCACCGCAAGGGUAAGACCCCAGAAAGACUAGCUGGUUGAUAGGUCGAAGGUGUAAGUGCAGCAAUUUAUUUAGCUUAUCGAUACUAAUAGGUCUAGGACUUGACCAAU